AUUGAACGCUGGCGGCAGGCCUAACACAUGCAAGUCGAACGGUACAGGGAUCAGCUUGCUGAUUCGCUGACGAGUGGCGGACGGGUGGGUAAUGUCUGGGAAACUGCCUGAUGGAGGGGGAUAACUACUGGAAACGGUAGCUAAUACCGCAUAACGUCGCAAGACCAAAGAGGGGGACCUUCGGGCCUCUUGCCAUCGGAUGUGCCCAGAUGGGAUUAGCUAGUAGGUGGGGUAACGGCUCACCUAGGCGACGAUCCCUAGCUGGUCUGAGAGGAUGACCAGCCACACUGGAACUGAGACACGGUCCAGACUCCUACGGGAGGCAGCAGUGGGGAAUAUUGCACAAUGGGCGCAAGCCUGAUGCAGCCAUGCCGCGUGUAUGAAGAAGGCCUUCGGGUUGUAAAGUACUUUCAGCGGGGAGGAAGGGAGUAAAGUUAAUACCUUUGCUCAUUGACGUUACCCGCAGAAGAAGCACCGGCUAACUCCGUG
rnacentral:rRNA from 1 species